ensembl:snRNA U6 U6 spliceosomal RNA
GUGCUCGCUUCAGCAGCACAUAUACUAAAAUUGGAACGAUACACAGAAGAUCAGCACGGCCCCUGCGCAAGCAUGAUACGCAAAUUCGUGACGCGUUCCAUCUUCAU